UGCGUGCUAACACAUGCAAGUCGAACGAGAAAGUUUCCUUCGGGGAAUUAGUAAAGUGGCGCAAGGGUGAGUAUCACGUGAAUAAUCUGCCCUCGAGAUCGGGAUAACAUGGUGAAAACUAUGCUAAUACCGGAUAAGACCACAUUUCAUAAGAAAUGCGGUAAAAGGAGUCUCAAUCUUCACUCGAGGAUGAGUUCGCGCAACAUUAGCUUGUUGGUGAGAUAAAAGCUCACCAAGGCUACGAUGUUUAGCCGGCCUGAGAGGGUGAACGGCCACACUGGAACUGAGACACGGUCCAGACUCCUACGGGAGGCAGCAGUGGGGAAUAUUGCGCAAUGGGCGAAAGCCUGACGCAGCAACGCCGUGUGAGCGAUGAAGGCUUUAGAGUCGUAAAGCUCUGUCAAAUGGGAAGAAUUUUGACGGUACCAUUAGAGGAAGCCCCGGCUAACUCCGUGCCAGCAGCCGCGGUAAUACGGAGGGGGCAAGCGUUGUUCGGAAUUAUUGGGCGUAAAGCGUAUGUAGGCGGCUAAGUAAGUCAGGCGUGCAAGCCCGUGGCUCAACCACGGAAUUGCGUUUGAAACUGCUUAGCUUGAGUACAGGAGAGGAAAGCGGAAUUCCCAGUGUAGCGGUGAAAUGCAUUGAUAUUGGGAAGAACAUCUGUGGCGAAGGCGGCUUUCUGGUCUGUUACUGACGCUGAGAUACGAAAGCCAGGGUAGCGAACGGGAUUAGAUACCCCGGUAGUCCUGGCUGUAAACGAUGGGCACUAGGUGCAGGAGGUAUCGAUCCCCUCUGUGCCGUAGCUAACGCGUUAAGUGCCCC
rnacentral:rRNA from 1 species